CACGUGAGUAACCUGCCCUUCACUCUGGGAUAAGCCUUGGAAACGAGGUCUAAUACUGGAUAUGACCUGGCCCUGCAUGGGGUUGGGUGGAAAGUUUUUCGGUGAGGGAUGGACUCGCGGCCUAUCAGCUUGUUGGUGAGGUAGUGGCUCACCAAGGCGACGACGGGUAGCCGGCCUGAGAGGGCGACCGGCCACACUGGGACUGAGAUACGGCCCAGACUCCUACGGGAGGCAGCAGUGGGGAAUAUUGCGCAAUGGGCGAAAGCCUGACGCAGCAACGCCGCGUGCGGGAUGACGGCCUUCGGGUUGUAAACCGCUUUCAGCAGGGACGAAACUGACGGUACCUGCAGAAGAAGCACCGGCUAACUACGUG
rnacentral:rRNA from 1 species